rnacentral:rRNA from 1 species
GACGAACGCUGGCGGCGUGCUUAACACAUGCAAGUCGAGCGGUAAGGCCCUUUUGGGGGUACACGAGCGGCGAACGGGUGAGUAACACGUGGGUGACCUGCCCUCAGCUCUGGGAUAAGCCUGGGAAACUGGGUCUAAUACUGGAUAUGACCUUUCCUCGCAUGGGGUUGGGUGGAAAGUUUUUCGGUUGGGGAUGGGCUCGCGGCCUAUCAGCUUGUUGGUGGGGUGAUGGCCUACCAAGGCGACGACGGGUAGCCGGCCUGAGAGGGCGACCGGCCACACUGGGACUGAGACACGGCCCAGACUCCUACGGGAGGCAGCAGUGGGGAAUAUUGCGCAAUGGGCGGAAGCCUGACGCAGCGACGCCGCGUGGGGGA